rnacentral:lncRNA from 1 species
GAUUUUACACAUGAUAGUCAACUUGAAAAUUUUCGUCACAUUUUUCUCAAGAACUACAAUACAAGGAUUUCUGAAAUUUGGUUUCAGGAUUUAUAUAAGUCAGGUAUACCGUGUGAUGCGUUUUCAGAUUCAUCACUCGACAACUCCCUGUUUACCGAACACUUGUAUGAUUUUACACAUGAUAACCAAGUUAAAAAUUUUCGUCACAUUUUUCUCAGGAACUACAAUACAAGGAUUUCUGAAAUUUGGUUUCAGGAUUUUUAUAAGUCAGCUAUACCGUGUGAUGCGUUUUCAGAUUCAUCACUCGACAACUUCCUGUUUACCGAACACUUCCAUAUUUUUACACUAUUAAUAUUAUCCACUUGCGGCGGGGG